CUAUGGGGCUGGUGUCUGAGUCAUAAUGUACUAGCUAUAUAGUAACAGCACCAUGCAUUCCAGUAAUACAAUUAAUCGAUUCCAGUGAUUGAAAACUGAAAAAAUAAUAAUAUAAAAAUAAUCGUGUUUCCACACAAUUUCUCGUUUUCCCAAUUUCCACUCGUGUUGAUAUUUAACAAUUAUUUGCCGAAGGCGAGGUGAUUAUCGGGGAAUUAAUAUUCGCCGAGACGAAGUCGAGGUGAAUAUCCCCUGAUAAUCACCGAGCCUGAGGCGAAUAAUUGUUUUAGUAUGAAG